GGGAAGAGCUCAAAUUUUGAAUCUGGCGGUCUUUCGGCCGUCCGAGUUGUAAUCUAGAGAAGUGUUUUCCGCGCUGGACCGUGUACAAGUCUCCUGGAAGGGAGCGUCAUAGAGGGUGAGAAUCCCGUCUCUGACACGGACCCCCAGUGCUAUGUGAUGCGCUCUCGACGAGUCGGGUUGUUUGGGAAUGCAGCUCAAAUCGGGUGGUAAACUCCAUCUAAAGCUAAAUAUAGGCGAGAGACCGAUAGCGAACAAGUACCGUGAGGGAAAGAUGAAAAGAACUUUGGAAAGAGAGUUAAACAGUACGUGAAAUUGCUGAAAGGGAAACGCUUGAUGUCAGUCGCGUCGGCCAGGAAUCAACCUUGCAUUUUGCUGGGCGUAUUUUCUGGUCGACGGGUCAGCAUCAGUUUCGAUCGUCGUACAAGGGCGAAGGGAAUGUGGCACUCUUCGGGGUGUGUUAUAGCCUUUCGUCGUAUGCGAUGGUCGGGACUGAGGAACUCGGCACGGCUCUGCUUGUGCUCAGGAUGCUGGCAUAAUGGCCUUAAGCGACCCGUCUUGAAACACGGACCAAGGAGUCUAACAUGCCUGCGAGUGUUUGGGUGGCAAACCCGAGCGCGUAAUGAAAGUGAAAGUUGAGACCUCUGUCAUGGAGGGCAUCGACGCCCGGACCCGAGUCUUUGACGAAGGAUCUGCGGUGGAGCAUGUAUGUUGGGACCCGAAAGAUG
rnacentral:rRNA from 1 species